CUGAUCUGAAGUCACACAUGCACAAAGUCAAAUACAAUGAAGAUAAAUUUAAUGAUUAAUUAUAUUUGCUUUUUUGUAGCCAAAUGCAAGGUGGCUGAUGCAAGACUGUCAGAUGUACAUAGAGGACACUUGUGAACAGUUCUGCUCACAAUGCUGCUGCUUCAUCACAUGCACACAUUAUACAUCAAAGCCUCCUCUCUUGGCACCUCUGGGUUCUCCAGGUCUUUGAGAAACUCAUCCAGACUGUCAGCCUCUCCACCCUUCCUUCUCUUCCUUAGCUCCUCUGGCACGAGUGGAGUCAGGCACCGUGUGAACAUCUAGAGCAAUAAAACACAGAACUGCCAACAUUGCUAACAAGAAAACCCUACUGGGGAGAAAGAAAAAAGAAUUAACACAAGAACCCUGUCUGUGUCAAUUGUCAAGCUCAGCACGGACACACUGACCACAUUGGACACACUACCACACUGACGGACACACUGGACUGGAUAUAUAACGUAGUUUAUAUGUUAACUGCUUAAAAUGAUAACACCUGAACUGAUUUAAACACAAUUUGCAGAAAUGUUUGGAUUUAUAAGCAAGCAAGUGUAUGUUUGCUUUAUACUGCAAAUUUACUGGUUGCACUGGUUUACUGGACACUGCUACUCAUGCUCAUCACAAAGCUUGCUAACUCCUUGCUAAGGAUGCUACAUUUAAGGGUCCUCCUCUGUUUGACACUGAGAAACAUGUAUUUAAUGCUAUUUUAUGGGAAACUUGACCAGGACAUGGAUAGUUCUGGAUUCAGACUUGCUAAACAAGGCAGAUAAGAAGACAGUCUUACCAAAGUCAUUUUCUUGCAGUAAAUUCAGGUUGCCCACCUCCUCGCGCAUGGUGAUUUCCUCUACACGAGACUGAUUCAGGGUAAACUG